rnacentral:rRNA from 1 species
GACGAACGCUGGCGGCGUGCUUAACACAUGCAAGUCGAACGGAAAGGCCCUGCUUUUGUGUGUUGCUCGAUUGGCGAACGGGUGAGUAACACGUGAGUAACCUGCCCUUGUCUUUGGGAUAACUUCAGGAAACUGGGGCUAAUACCGGAUAUGAUCUCCUGCUGCGUGGUGGGGGUUGGAAAGUUUCGGCGGUGGUGGAUGGACUCGCGGCUUACCAGCUGCUUUGUGUGGUAGGUGCUUACCAAGGCUUUGACGGGUAGCCUGCCUGAGAGGGUUACCGGCCACAUUGGGACUGAGAGACGGACCAGAAUCCUACGGGAGGCAGCAGUGGGGAAUAUUGCACAAUGGGCGGAAGCCUGAUGCAGAAACGCCGCGUGCGGGAUGACGGCCUUCGGGUUGUAAACCGCUUUCGCAUGUGACGAAGCGUGAGUGACGGUAAUGGGUAAAGAAGCACCGGCUAACUACGUG